CUGCUGUGGACUGGGCAUCUUGCCAAUAUUUCCAUUCACUGUUAUUUUAUGUGAUCUUCGUAUCAGCCUUUUAAGGGGGCAGAUGAACUUAAUGGAAACACGGAUGGCAGCAGCUAUACAUUGUUCAGUGCAGGUAGAACAAUGGGAUAAUCGAGUUGCAUGAGCUGAAGCUAUUAUAGUAAGCUUGGGCGAGCUGUUCAGUUCUUUUUGGUAGGUAAUCUUUGUAAUGUUCAUGAGGAUUCCCAGUGUUAUUUUGUAUGCCCCCUGAAAAUGCAAAUGUAAUCUUGAGUGUAGAAUUUAAGAACCAUUUAGAUGUGUGCAUUUUUUC
rnacentral:lncRNA from 1 species